UUGACUCAUUAUGUGAGACUCAGAGAUGCAACGCUAAAGAUACAGAGUAUGAGGCCGCCGGCGGGCUCGACGCUACGGGCCGGGCCUAGGGCCUAGCACCGCGGCGCCCGCCGAGGCAACGUCAGGGUAUUAUUCGCUGUGGUUUGACCGUUAAGUCUUCUGUAAUGAUCCCUCCGCUGGUUCACCAACGGAGA
rnacentral:misc_RNA from 1 species